rnacentral:lncRNA from 1 species
AUUGGCAGUCAAGAGAAGUUUAACUGAAUCUCUGAGUGGCAAGAGUCAGGAGAGGUUUAACUGAAUAUAGAAGGAGAAGAAGUAUUUACAUUAGAAGUCUGAUUCACAGGUCGGGGCAAAGUGAAAAACAUCUGCACUUUUAAAAGAGAGGUCAAAAGUCCGUCUGACUCACCUGUGCUGAGUGACUUGAAUGCCAUCUAAUCUAACUUCAAGAUCAUCAGGAUACUUGCCAACAAGGUCACAGUGGACUCCAUGGAGCAACUGCCCUCAGGAGGCAACAGGUCACAGUGUUUGGACACCGCAUGAACAUGCCAAUUUCCUGUGUUGUAAUAUUUUUAUGCACUUUAAGAAGACCACCAGAAACAGCAGAGUGAGUGAAUGACUGAGGCGCAUAUUGGACAAAAAUCACUUAUCCAAGACCACGUUACUACAACCCCAGGGCACAGAAGCUAAGUCUUCCUAUUGUACUGAACUCAGUUGACUGGAAUUUGUUCAGGAAAGCAUGAAGUCAAAUGGAAGCUAGUCCGUGACUGGAUUCAUCUUUUGGUAAAAAACGAAGAGGAGACCCCAUAUCCUGGAGGUUCUUGCUUAACCCUGUCCCUAAUAAGACCUAACUUUAUGAGUCUUCUCCUUAGAGGCAGUCCUAGGGUAAGAGUGAUUAUUCCUGUGAGCCUUGUAGGUACUUUCGAAUCAAGGAAAUUAGUAGUUGAUUGCUAAUUAAUUCAGUAUUUAAUGAAUUUAAGUACCUAGGCAAUGAGGCCACAAUAGCAAAUAAGACACAGACCUGUUUUCAAAAAGUAGCCUGUAAAUAAGAUAUUUUUUUCUGCCAUGGUGGCAAAGGCAUGACUAUGGUGAUGAACAUUCAUAGGCUCACCUUCUAGCUCUGUUGUAUGUUAACUGUGUGAACUUGGGUCAAGUUAUGAAAACUCUAAGAACUCUCAAAACUCCUGAUCUGUUUUAACAUGAAAGUAAAGAUAUCUAAUUGAAUUGUUGUGAAACUUAAAUGUAAUGUGACAUCCAAAGAAUGUAGCCCAAAGUUGGAUUUCAGUAAGUGAUAAAUAGAAGUAUUUAAACAUGGGUAUGGUAUGUUCUGUAACAGAAGAAUGUCUAUGUGCUGGGGAUACCUAGAGACAGUGAAAAUUCUGUCUGGCCUGCGAAUUAUAAUAAAAUGACUCUUUAAA